rnacentral:sRNA from 1 species
CCGGAUGAGGUCCAUCGUCUUCGGCGC